rnacentral:lncRNA from 1 species
CAAAAACCUAGGAAGAAACCUAGAGAGGAACCAGGCUAUGAGGGGUGGCCAGUCCUCUUCUGGCUGUGCCGGGUGGAUAUUAUAACAGAACAUGGUCAAGAUGUUAAAAUGUUCAUAAAUGACCAGCAUGGUCAAAUAAUAAUAAUCAUAGUAGUUGUCGAGGGUGCAACAAGCACGUCCGGUGAACAGGUCAGGGUUCCAUAGCCGCAGGCAGAACAGUUGAAACUGGAGCAGCAGCACGGCCAAGUGGACUGGGGACAGCAAGGAGUCAUCAUACCAGGUAGUCCUGAGGCAUGGUCCUAGGGCUCAGGUCCUCCGAGAGAAAGACAGAAAGA